ACGUCGAUGGGCUCGUCCGAGAGCUUGCCGGCGGUGCAUCAGGAAGCGCCGCCGCCGCCACCGUGAGGCGCCUCGCGUGCGUGUGCGCUUGUGGCGAGCAAAGGGCGCCAUGGCGGUCCUGCUAGACAGUGCCGCGUGCAGCAUCAGCUAUGCGCGUGCGCCGUUGAGGGGUGCCGCGAUGGCGUCACCAUCUCCUACGUCGCUUGCUCGGGCCGUCGUCGCGGCCGGUCUCCUACCUGUGUGGCAGCUGCGUGAGCGUGGAAGGCGGAGGAGAGAGAAAAGUGAAGCUAGGGUUUUGGGAAGCCA
rnacentral:lncRNA from 1 species